UACGGGGGGCAAGGCGUUGUUCGGAAUUACUGGCGUAAAGGGCUCGAGUAGGCGGCCAACUAAGUCGGACGUGAAAAUCCCCAGGCUCAACCUGGGAAACUGCGUCCGAUAACCUGGAUGGCUUGAAUUCCGGGAAGAGGGAUUGCAGAAUUCCAGGUGUAGCGGUGGAAAUGACGCAGAUAUCAGGAGGAACACCAAUUGCGGAAGGCAGCUCGCUGGGACGUGACUGACGCUGAGACGCGAAAGCGUGGGGAGCAAACAGG
rnacentral:rRNA from 1 species